UACGUAGGGUGCAAGCGUUAAUCGGAAUUACUGGGCGUAAAGCGUGCGCAGGCGGUUGUGCAAGACCGAUGUGAAAUCCCCGGGCUUAACCUGGGAAUGGCAUUGGUGACUGCACGGCUAGAGUGUGUCAGAGGGGGGUAGAAUUCCACGUGCAGCAGUGAAAUGCGUAGAGAUGUGGAGGAAUACCGAUGGCGAAGGCAAUCCCCUGGGCCUGCACUGACGCUCAUGCACGAAAGCGUGGGGAGCAAACAGG
rnacentral:rRNA from 1 species